CCUUGAGAAAAUCAAAGGUGUAACCUGCCCAAUGAUCUUUAAUUUAAAAAUAAUAAAAAUAUUUAAAAAAGAUUUAAAGGACGCGGUAACCUUGACUGUGAUAAUGUAGCAUAAUCACUCGCCAUUUAAUUGAUGGAUAGUAUGAAUGGUUAAACGAAUAUUACACUAUCUAAAAAAUAGAUCUCAUAAAAAUGAAAUAAUAGUUAAGAUGCUAUUUAAAAUUGUAAGACGAAAAGACCCUAUAGAGCUUAACUAUAAUCUCUUGAAAAAAAAUAAAAAUAUUUUUAAAAAGGAGAGAUUGGUAGUUUAGUUGGGGCGACUAUUUUUUAAAAAUAACAAAAAUAAGCAACAUUAAUAAAAAAAUUUACUGUAUAAUAAACAAAUUUAACAGUUACUAAAGUAGGCUAUAAUGACCCAUUAUUACUAUAUAAUAAGAAUAAUGAUUAAUGAAUAAAAGCUACCUUAGGGAUAACAGGAUAAUUUUAUCUAAGAGUUCUUAUCAAAGAUAAAGUUUGUCACCUCUAUGUUGAAUUAAGAUAUCCUAAUAGUGCAGAAGCUAUUAAAGGUAGGUCUGUUCGACCUUUAAAAU
rnacentral:rRNA from 1 species